rnacentral:lncRNA from 1 species
UGACAACACACUUGCGUAUUCAUUUUCCAUUCAAUCAGCAUUGAAUCCCUGUAAAAUAGAUGGUAGAGGCAUUCUCAUCUUACACAUAUUUGCGUUCUGAAGCUCCGGAAGAUUAAAUGAUUUGCUCAUCACAGCUGGUAAGUGGCAGCACUUGAACACGAACCCGAGAGUCCUGACAGCAAUUCCUCUGACUAUGCUUCUCUGUCAUGUCACCUCAUCUUAGGGAUAUGACAUAUUGUCUUCUACCAAUCUACUUGUUGUAUGUGGGAUAGUUGAGAGCAGGAUACUUAGGAAAUUAUUUUGGCCAUCCAACCUCCUCCAUUGUGACAUCAGAGCAGUGACUUCUACUUCUUGCCUUCUCCCAUUUUACCAGUGGCGUAGCUGGGUGCAGGCACAGUUUUGGGGUGAGGAGGUCAGUUCUCCAUCGGCAUGCCCUGAGAUAACCCAGAAGGGAAGUCGUAUCUGCUGCCUGCCAAGCACCUCCACGGAGCCUGGAGGAGCCUUCACGGUUCUGCAAGCAGGAAUUCCGCUGAAAUUACCAUCUGCAGAGUCAGACAAGCCUUUCAGCAGCACAGAGGCUCUCUGUGUGGGCAGAGUCUCCCACAUGUGGCUGGUUGGCACGGCCAGCCAGCUGUGGGUCACCUGUGGGCACCAGGCAGGCAAAGCCACAUACUGAGCAAGGAGAAAAAUCAUAACCCUGUGGAAACUAGGAAACCAUUCACGAGGUGGUUAUGACAAAUUAGAAGUCUGAAAAUUUUCUGAUGGUGUAAAGGCCCAGCUGUCACUGGGGAGAUAGUGAUCAGAUUUCAUAGCUGCGUGGUCCCGUGGCGCCACGGAGAGCUCCAUAUGGUCACCCAAAUGUUCCAGCUAAAUCCA